rnacentral:rRNA from 1 species
AUACGGAGGGUGCAAGCGUUAAUCGGAAUUACUGGGCGUAAAGCGUACGUAGGCGGUUUAUUAAGUCAGAUGUGAAAGCCCCGGGCUUAACCUGGGAACUGCAUUUGAAACUAGUAGACUAGAGUAUGGUAGAGGGGGGUAGAAUUCCUAGUGUAGCGGUGAAAUGCGUAGAUAUUAGGAGGAAUACCAGUGGCGAAGGCGGCCCCCUGGACCAAUACUGACGCUGAGGUGCGAAAGCGUGGGGAGCAAACAGGAUUAGAAACCCGUGUAGUCC